UACGUAGGGUGCAAGCGUUGUCCGGAAUUAUUGGGCGUAAAGAGCUCGUAGGCGGCUUGUCGCGUCGGCUGUGAAAACCUGGGGCUCAACCCCGGGCCUGCAGCCGAUACGGGCAAGCGUAGAAUUCGGUAGGGGAGACUGGAAUUCCCGGUGUAGUGGUGAAAUGCGUAGAUAUCGGGAGGAACACCAGUGGCGAAGGCGACUUCCUGGCCUGUUCUUGACGCUGAGGCGCGAAAGCUAGGGGAGCAAACGGGG
rnacentral:rRNA from 1 species